UACGGGGGGAGCAAGCGUUGUUCGGAUUUACUGGGCGUAAAGGGCGCGUAGGCGGCCACCGCAAGUCAGUUGUGAAAUCUCUGGGCUUAACCCAGAGCGGUCAGCUGAUACUGCGGGGCUAGAGUGCAGAAGGGGCAACUGGAAUUCUCGGUGUAGCGGUGAAAUGCGUGGAUAUCGAGAGGAACACCUGCGGCGAAGGCGGGUUGCUGGGCUGACACUGACGCUGACAGCGCGAAAGCUAGGGGAGCGAACGGG
rnacentral:rRNA from 1 species